rnacentral:rRNA from 1 species
CCCUACGGGAGGCAGCAGUGAGGAAUAUUGGUCAAUGGGAGAGAUCCUGAACCAGCCGAGCCGCGUGAGGGAAGACGGCCCUAUGGGUUGUAAACCUCUUUUGUCGGAGAACAAAACCCGGGACGUGUCCCGGACUGCGUGUAUCCGAAGAAAAAGCAUCGGCUAACUCCGUGCCAGCAGCCGCGGUAAUACGGAGGAUGCGAGCGUUAUCCGGAUUUAUUGGGUUUAAAGGGUGCGUAGGCGGUCCGUUAAGUCAGCGGUAAAAUUGCGGGGCUCAACCCCGUCGAGCCGUUGAAACUGGCAGG